rnacentral:rRNA from 1 species
UACGUAGGGUGCAAGCGUUGUCCGGAAUUAUUGGGCGUAAAGAGCUCGUAGGCGGUUUGUCGCGUCUGCUGUGAAAACCCGAGGCUCAACCUCGGGCCUGCAGUGGGGUACGGGCAGACUAGAGUGCGGUAGGGGAGACUGGAAUUCCCGGGUGUAGCGGUGAAAUGCGUAGAUAUCAGGAGGAACACCCAUGGCGAAGGCAGCAAGCUGGGCCGCAUCUGACGCUGAGGCGCGAAAGCGUGGGGUAGCAAACAGG